rnacentral:rRNA from 1 species
CCUACGGGUGGCAGCAGUAGGGAAUUUUCGUCAAUGGGCGCAAGCCUGAACGAGCAAUGCCGCGUGAACGAGGAAGGUCUUCGGAGCGUUAAGUUCCGUUGAAGGGGAAAAAGAGCGGAGAGAGGAAAUGCUUUCUGAUUGAUAUUACCCUUCGAGGACGUCACGGCUCACUACGUGCCAGCAGCCGCGGUAAUACGUAGGUGGCGAGGGUUAGCCGGAAUGAUUGGGCGAAAGGGGUGCGUAGGCGGCCUGCUAAGUCUGGAGGGAAAGGUGCCGGCUCAACCGGUACAGGCUCUGGAAACUGGCGGGCUAGAGAGCAGGAGAGGGCGGUGGAACUCCAGGUGUAGCGGUAAAAUGCGUAGAUAUCUGGAAGAACACCAGUGGCGAAGGCGGCCGCCUGGCCUGUUACUGACGCUGAGGCACGAAAGCGUGGGGAGCAAAUAGGAUUAGAUACCCGAGUAGUC